AGAACGAACGCUGGCGGCAUGCCUAAUACAUACAAGUCGAACGAACUCUUCGGAGUUAGUGGCGCACGGGUGCGUAACGCGUGGGAAUCUGCCCCUUGGUUCGGAAUAACAGUUGGAAACGACUGCUAAUACCGGAUGAUGACGAAAGUCCAAAGAUUUAUCGCCAAGGGAUGAGCCCGCGUAGGAUUAGCUAGUUGGUGAGGUAAAGGCUCACCAAGGCAACGAUCCUUAGCUGGUCUGAGAGGAUGAUCAGCCACACUGGGACUGAGACACGGCCCAGACUCCUACGGGAGGCAGCAGUAGGGAAUAUUGGACAAUGGGGCGAAAAGCCUGAUCCAGCAAUGCCGCGUGAGUGAUGAAGGUCCUUAGGG
rnacentral:rRNA from 1 species